UACAGGGGGCCCGAGCGUUACUCGGAAUCACUGGGCUUAAAGGGUGCGUAGGCGGCCAUGCGUGUCUUCCGUGAAAUCCCUCGGCUUAACUGAGGACGUGCGGAAGAAACUGCAAGGCUCGAGUCCGGGAGAGGAGGGUGGAAUUCCCAGUGUAGCGGUGAAAUGCGUAGAUAUUGGGAGGAACACCGGUGGCGAAGGCGGCCCUCUGGACCGGUACUGACGCUGAUGCGCGAAAGCGUGGGUAGCAAACGGG
rnacentral:rRNA from 1 species